UGCGUUUUUCGCCCAGGCGGAGCUCGACCGCCGAUUCAAGUCCUGAGAGAGCUCAUCGACGAGCAUCGCGAUACGUUCGGGGUCGAGCCGAUCUGCAAGGUUUUGCAGAUCUCCCCG
rfam:Variovorax sp. PAMC 28711, complete genome.